rnacentral:misc_RNA from 1 species
ACGAGUGAGGGUCCCCUGGGCUCGACCUCCCAACCCUAUGUUUAUUGAACCUCUGUUGCUUCGGCGGACCCGCCUCACGGCCGCCGGAGGAUCGCCCACGAUCCUCUGGCCCGCGUCCGCCGACGGCCAACCAUUAAAACUCUUGAAUGAAUCGUGUCAUGAUGUCUAAGUUUUUGAUUAAAUAAAGCA